rnacentral:rRNA from 1 species
GAUGAACGCUGACAGAAUGCUUAACACAUGCAAGUCUACUUGAAGCACUUUCGGGUGUGGAUGGUGGCGGACGGGUGAGUAACGCGUAAAUAACUUGCCCCCUAGUCUGGGACAACUGUUGGAAACGACAGCUAAUACUAGAUAUUAUGAGACCUUGGCAUCAAGGACUUAUGAAAGCUAUAUGCGCUAGGGGAGAGAUUUGCGUCCUAUUAGCUAGUUGGUGAGGUAAUGGCUCACCAAGGCGACGAUAGGUAGCCGGCCUGAGAGGGUGAACGGCCACAAGGGGACUGAGACACGGCCCUUACUCCUACGGGAGGCAGCAGUGGGGAAUAUUGGACAAUGGACCAAAAGUCUGAUCCAGCAAUUCUGUGUGCUUGAUGAAGGCCUUCGGGUUGUAAAGAGCUUUAAGUAGGGAAGAAGAAAGUGACGGUACCUACAGAAUAAGCGACGGCUAAAUACGUGCCAGCAGCCGCCGUAA